UACGGGGGGAGCAAGCGUUGUUCGGAUUUACUGGGCGUAAAGAGCUCGUAGGCGGUGUGUCGCGUCGGCCGUGAAAACCUGCAGCUUAACUGUGGGCGUGCGGUCGAUACGGGCAUCACUGGAGUUCGGCAGGGGAGACUGGAAUUCCUGGUGUAGCGGUGAAAUGCGCAGAGUAUCAGGAGGAACACCGGUGGCGAAGGCGGGUCUCUGGGCCGUAACUGACGCUGAGGAGCGAAAGCAUGGGGAGCGAACAGG
rnacentral:rRNA from 1 species